CAUGAACUUUGUCGUUUUUAAAAGGAAAAAAUGUGCCUACGCAAAUGCGAUGAUAAAGCGCAUGGUGUUAGCAAUGUCUAGUUUGGCCCAUUUAAAGUGGUCAAGCAUCCGAACGAUAGGCCUCUGCACACACCCUUACAUUUAUUAAUCAUUCACGCCACCCGCCAGAGAGAGAAGACACCAUGGCAGUACUAUGUCACCUGUAAAAGAUCAGCUCUGAAAAAGAUCUGAUGUGAAAAGAUCUGAUGUGAAGGGUCAAAAGAUCAAUUAGUGGAUAAAAAAUCUGAAUUUGGCUGCCAAGAGCUCCAUGGUCAUUGAUAGUCCAUUGUAGGUGAAAAACAGCAUAUAUACGGCUCUGGUCUGUCCUAGGAGUGAAGGUAAAUUGUAUGCACGUUCUCUGCUAUCUACCUUGUUUCUAUCAUUAUUUUGGGUAGAGGGACUUGUUUCUUUUUCAAGCGUUUAGGGAGGUCAUGUCAAAUAUACAGUAUUUUGCUUAAGGGAGGGUCAAUUUAAUUUCAGUCCCUAACCACUCAUCACAACCUACUCCCCUGUGUAUUGAAUGUUGAUGUUUUCUUCCCUUUCAGCUGUAGUUCCAUACAACCAUCAAAUGGACAGCCCAGAUUUCAUUAGAGACCUUCUGCCUGCUGCAGAGAAGACAGCCCUGCUGUACAACAUGUCCUACCUGUGCCUGGCCAAAUUCCCCUCUCUGGAGAGAAUCAUCAGAGCCAAUGCUGUUGAGGCCCAAAUGCUGUUCUCCUCUUCUGAGGCUCUGCUGCUGCUGUGUGUUAGCACCAGUGACAACAUGGUCAAGACAUUAUUCCCUAUGCUGAAGGCUGCUGUGAAGAAAGAUAAUCCAGUAGUUGCCGUCAAAUUCCUGGCAAAAGCCAAUCAGUGGAUCUAUGAUAUCAUCAAAGAAGUUGAAAAAAUAGUAGAAGAGUAAGCCAAUAUAAAUGUUAUAGAGUGCAUUCUGUUCAGCCCUGAGUGGGGAUUAAGCUAGCAGCAUCACAACACACGCAAU
rnacentral:lncRNA from 13 species